rnacentral:rRNA from 1 species
CAGCCGCCGCGGGAAUACCGAGGGUGCGAGCGUUAAUCGGAUUUACUGGGCGUAAAGCGUGCGUAGGCGGCUUCUUAAGUCGGAUGUGAAAUCCCUGAGCUUAACUUAGGAAUUGCAUUCGAUACUGGGAAGCUAGAGUAUGGGAGAGGAUGGUAGAAUUCCAGGUGUAGCGGUGAAAUGCGUAGAGAUCUGGAGGAAUACCGAUGGCGAAGGCAGCCAUCUGGCCUAAUACUGACGCUGAGGUACGAAAGCAUGGGGAGCAAACAGGAUUAGAUACCCGCGUAGUCCCUGUCUCUUAUAC